CGCUUGCGACUGCUGUUGACAACGAAACGAGUGUUCGUCUGCGGCAGAGGGUCCAUGCCCAAAACCUUAUGAACAUGACGGAAUGCCAACAGCCUCAGCGCAACCUGUAAAGACAAAGCCACAAGACGCAUACACCCAUUGAAUCACUGAUGACAAUCAGAUAAAUUUUAUAAGUAUCACAGUGGAACCCUAUCAAAACAAAUUACAGUAUUUUCCGCACCAUUAAGUGCUGCAGGGUAAAAGGUGUAGACUCAAUUGCGGGGACUUUUCUAUACUUAAUCCACAUAUAGGACGCACUGCAUUGUAGGGCGCAUGCAUGCCAUGAUUUAUGGCAAACAGAAAAACGUUCAGUUGUACCUUUUUCUAGUGUUUAACCAUGUCCUCUACUGUACUCACAUUAUUGUUCAUUGAUAUUCAUACGCAAAGUCCUCGUCUUCUGUAUCUGAUUUAACAGUCGGGCAAGUUCCCUUUCGUCGGUCUCCUUGUUGUCAUGUUGCUCUUUGGCAAUGAGCCCGGUUUUCCAGAAAGCUUGAAUUGUCUUUGUGGUGCGUUGAAAAGAAUUCUCAAAUCACUGUACUCUGUAUUAUAUUAAAUCUUACACAACAUCCUACCUUUACUGGGUAUUGAAUUCGUGGGAUGUUGGUUUGAAUACGUCUAACCUUUCAGCCCUAAUAUCAAAUGUUUUAUAUGCAUGCCAUUUUGCAAUGUCCAAAAUAUACAGAAGAAAAAACAAGAGCUUGUAACCUGGGCACUUAAGGUUAUGUCCUCUCUUUCCUGCUCUCCAAUGGCUUCCAGGGUAUCGACAGCACUCUUUUCACAUGGAUCCAUCAGUCCAGGCCCACCUGUUAAAACAAAUACAUCUCCCUUAGUGUGAAUGUAGUAAGAUACAAGACAAAGUUAACUGCUUGUUCAUUUGAAGAUAACUUAAAGGACACAAUUUCUGCAAAAGAAACUUUCAGCGGCAUUCUUUCGUCCAAAACCAAAGGAAUAACGGACAAAAUUGUUUUUAUGCCACAAUAACCGAAAUUGUAGAACCCAUUACUGUUGCACAAUCAACUCCUUGAUAGAAAACAACCAAUGACGGUGGGCGUUAAUAUACUUUAGGAUGUUAUAUUGUUUCAUAUGUAAUUUUUAUUUUAUUCGACUUAUUUUUUUAGAUUUGAAAAUCUUUCAUUUAUUGUGUAAUUUACCAGAAGUACAGUGAUCCCUCACUACUUCACGCUUCACCUAGUGCAGUGCUUCUCAAAUAGUGGGGCGGGCCCCCCUGGGGGGGCGUAGUGCGAUACCAACGGGGGCGCGGGAACAUGUUUUUCUUUUGGCUGUAUUAGAUUAAAGGGUAAUUACACAUCCACUGCAGUAGGUGGGGGUGGCGGUAUCACUGGAAGAGUAUUUGCUCUACAGCAGCACUUUGAAUCUGUUCUGUUACAGACUAAAAAACACUGUUAUUAAUAAAGUUAUUCUUUAUUGUAAGUUGA